UAUUUAUUUAUUUAUUUUUUUUCUUUUUUUUCUCUUUUUCUUUUUUAAACUCCCCCUCUCCCCUCCUCCUCACUCCUGCCCCCACCCUACAACUUCUUCCCCUCACACCGCCUUUCCCCGGGAAGCCAAGAUGGCCGCCGGUGCCGACGCCCCGGCCAGGCCAGGCCUAGGCCUCGAGCGCUCCCCCUUCCGGCUCCGAGCGGGCGGGGCGAAAGAGCAUGCGCAGUGAGGAGCGCCGCCGGCUGCCGCUCCCAUUCCGAAGCUUCCCAGAUUAUGAAGAAUGAGGCAUCAGCGUUCUGCAUCAUCAUCCAAUGCAAAGGUAAUUUUUUAAAUUGGAUCCUUCUAUGA
ensembl:lncRNA